AGCAACCGAAUUAAAAAAAGAAAAACUUUAUAGAGUUGGAUAUAAGGACGAUAAGCAUCUCUCGGACGGUUAUAAAGCCAAGCAAACAGUGACACUGCAAGUGUGAAUGAUAAAAUUCUGAAACAAGAAAAAAUCAAGCUGUUAAUGACAGAAGGAAGCCACAUCCCCGCAGGGGAGAGGACACCGGCACUCAGUGCACGUCUGCGCCUGGGCCCCGUGGCACCGACACCAGUCCAGCUGUGGGCUUUGGCCUGGGUCGAACCCUCCUCAGUCUUCGCAACGGCUGUGAGCCCGAGGAAACAGUCGGGGAGGGUCUCAGCUGGUGCUGAGGGGCUGCCAACCUCAGGGCAGCAUCUCCAGGGUGCCAGGAACUGGGCGGCUGCCCGAGUUUACGCAGAAGACUGAGGAGUGAGGAGGUCAUGGUCGAGCCGCGGACGCCCGCCGGACAGGUAAGCGGGGGAGGACGGGCAGCGCUCAGCCACAUGUGAGCAGAGUGCAUGCAUGGGAUCCCACCCCAGCAAGACUUUAAAAGAGAGAAGUGAUUUCCCCAAGGGGGUCCUUUCUGCGGCCGCAGAACCAGCAAAGCUCACCUUCCCACCUGGCG